rnacentral:rRNA from 1 species
UACGGAGGGUGCAAGCGUUAAUCGGAAUUAUUGGGCGUAAAGAGCGCGUAGGCGGGAAGGAAAGUUAGAUGUGAAAUUCCGAGGCUCAACCUCGGCUCCGCAUCUAAAACUUCCUUUCUUGAGGAUGGACGGAGAAAAGGGAAUUCCACGUGUAGCGGUGAAAUGCGUAGAUAUGUGGAAGAACACCAGUGGCGAAGGCGCUUUUCUAGUUUAUUCCUGACGCUGAGGCGCGAAAGCCAGGGGAGCAAACAGG